rnacentral:lncRNA from 1 species
CAUCAUCCCACCAUCAUUAUCAUAUUUAUAUUUCUAAAAUUAUUAAUUCUAUUAGUGUAUUAAUUUUUUAAUUUUUGAAAAUAAAAAAUAAAAAUGAUGUCAAAUAUUGUUUUAUUUUCAUAUUUUCUAGAUACUGAGAAAGGGUUUCCAAAAAAACUGAAAAUGAUGAAAGCUGACUUACCAAACACCAUGUAUUAUUUUUCUACACUUUUGAAAGCCAAAACUAAAAAUUGGA